rnacentral:rRNA from 1 species
UACGGAGGAUCCGAGCGUUAUCCGGAAUUAUUGGGUUUAAAGGGUGCGUAGGCGGCCAUUUAAGUCAGCGGUGAAAUUUUGCAGCUCAACUGUAAAAGUGCCUUCGAAACUGGUUUCCUUGAGUGUAGAUGAAGUAGGCGGAAUUUGUGGUGUAGCGGUGAAAUGCAUAGAUAUCACGAGGAACUCCGAUUGCGCAGGCAGCUUACUAGGCCAUAACUGACGCUCAGGCACGAAGGCGUGGGGAUCAAACAGGAUUAGAUACCCUUGUA